GAAAUGCGAUACGCAAUGCGAAUUGCAGAACGCGAGUCAUCAGAUCUUUGAACGCAAGUGGCGUCGGUUAACAGCCGACAUGUGGUGCUCAGUGUGUUUCGGAAAUCAUACACGCGGAAUGUGGUUGAAGGGCGCGCAAGCACUCUUCUCCCAUUAAACGCGCGCUGGACCGGCACGGAACUGACUUUCUAACCGCUGUGGCAACACAGCGGGAGGGGUCUCUCCGGCAUUGGCUCCUGCCCGGAAGUAGUCACUAGCUUUCUAGUGAUCUACGGGCUUGGGGGAUACAAACCGAUGCUGCUUGAGGGGCUGUCAACAACUCUGCGCUUUAAUAAACGUGUCCGCGACUAUACUAAAAACACUUCCCAUCCUACACCUGAGCUUCACAAGAUCACCCGCU
rnacentral:misc_RNA from 1 species